UCAGGAUAAACGCUGGCGGCGUGCCUUAGGCAUGCAAGUCAAGGGGGUGCAGCAAUGCACAACCGGCGGACGGUCGAGUAACGCGUAGGAAUCUCCCUCAAAGUUGGACAUAGCCAGCCGAAAGGUUGGGUAAUUUCCAAUGUGAACGUAAGUUUAAAGAUUUAUCGCUUUGAGAUGAGCCUGCGUAGGAUUAGCUAGUUGGUGGGGUAAAGGCCUACCAAGGCGACGAUCCUUAGCUGGUCUGAGAGGACGACCAGCCGGAAUGGGACUGAGACACGGCCCAUACAUCUACGGAUGGCAGCAACCGGGAAUCUUGGACAAUGGGCGAAAGCCUGAUCCAGCGACGCCGCGUGGAGGAUUGAAGGCCCUCGGGUUGUAAACUCCUUUUAGUGGGGAAGAUUAUGACGGUACCCACAGAAUAAGCACCUGCUAACUACGUGCCAGAAGCCUCGGUAAGACGUAGGGUGCAAGCGUUAUCCGGAUUUACUGGGCGUAAAGUGUUGCGUAGGCGGAUUUGCGCAUUUUGUUUAAAAGGCCAAGGCUCAACCUUGGUUUUGGGCAAAAUAUGGCAAAUCUUGAUGGCUAAAGAGGAUACUAGAACUCUACAUGUAGCAGUGAAAUGCGUUGAUAUGUAGAGGAAUACCAAAGGCGUAGGCAGGUAUCUGGGUAGCACAUGACGCUGAGGCACGACAGCUAGGGGAGCGAAGCAGAUUAGAGACCUGCGUAGUCCUAGCCGUAAACGAUCCUUGCUAGAUGGGAGAAUUAUUUUUCCUGUCGUAAGCUAACGCGUUAAGCAAGGCGCCUGGGGAGUACGAUCGCAAGAUUAAAACUCAAAGGAAUUGACGGGGAGGCGCACAAGCAGUGGAGCAUGUGGUUUAAUUCGAUACAAAGCGAAAAACCUCACCAGGGUUUGACAUGUAGAU
rnacentral:rRNA from 1 species